rnacentral:rRNA from 1 species
UACGUAGGGGGCAAGCGUUUUCCGGAUUUAUUGGGCGUAAAGAGCGUGUAGGCGGCUUGGUAGGUCCGCUGUGAAAACUCGAGGCUCAACCUCCAGACGUCGACGGAAACCGUGUGGCUAGAGUCCGGAAGAGGAGAGUGGAAUUCCUGGUGUAGCGGUGAAAUGCGCAGAUAUCAGGAAGAACACCAAUGGCGAAGGCAGCUCUCUGGGACGGUACUGACGCUGAGACGCGAAAGCGUGGGGAGCGAACAGG